GCAACCGUGCCCGAGUGGUUAAGGGGCCUCCCUGCUAAGGAGGUGGUUUCGGCCGCGUGCGUUCGAAUCGCAUCGGUUGCG